rnacentral:tRNA from 1 species
GCCGGGCUGGCUCAGUUGGUAGAGUGUGUGAUUUUUGAUCUUGGGGUUGUGAGUUUGAGCCCCAUGUUGGGUA